AGUGAACAUAAAUAUUUGUCAACGUCUCAAGAUUUUUGACCACUAAGCGUCACCGAAGGAGAGGAGCCACCGCGACUGGGCGCCUUUUUUCGAGUAGUGGUAGAGU
ensembl:ncRNA R160.9 ncRNA